rnacentral:rRNA from 1 species
UCUGAACUACUAGUAGUUAAGUUCUUGAAAAUUAAUAAAGAUGGCGGUAUUUUAGUCUAUUCAGAGGAAUCUGUCCUGUAAUUGAUAACCCACGAUUUUAAGUACUUGGAGUUUUAGCUUAUAUAUCGUUGUAGUUGGAAUAUUUCUGUAGAAUGAAAAUGUUCAUAAGUUUUAAUAUAAAAAAUAUCAAGUCAAGAUGUAGCUUAUAGCUAAGGAGAGAUGGAUUACAUUAUAUAUAUUUGGAUUAUUUCUGUAAUGAGAUUUAUAAAAUGGAUUUGAUAGUAAUUAUUAUAUAAAUUUUAAUAAUGAUUUUAGCUCUNAAAU